AUUGAACGCUGGCGGCAGGCCUAACACAUGCAAGUCGAGCGAGCGGCGGACGGGUGAGUAAUGUCUGGGCAACUGCCUGAUGGAGGGGGAUAACUACUGGAAACGGUAGCUAAUACCGCAUACCCUCAGAUGUGCCCAGAUGGGAUUAGCUAGUAGGUGGGGUAAAGGCUCACCUAGGCGACGAUCCCUAGCUGUUCUGAGAGGAUGACCAGCCACACUGGAACGGAGACACGGUCAAGAGUCCGACGGGAGGCAGCAGUGGGGAAUAUUGCACAAUGGGCGCAAGCCUGAUGCAGCCAUGCCGCGUGUGUGAAGAAGGCCUGAGGGUUGUAAAGCACUUUCAGCGAGGAGGCGUUACUCGCAGAAGAAGCACCGGCUAACUCCGUGCCAGCAGCCGCGGUAAUUC
rnacentral:rRNA from 1 species